GACGAACGCUGGCGGCGUGCCUAAUACAUGCAAGUCGAACGCAGUGGGGACGGUUGAGUAACACGUGGGUAACCUCCCAUCAGAGGGGAUAACACUUGGAAACUGGUGCUAAACCGAUACUGAUGGAUGGACCCGCGGGGCAUUAGCUAGUUGGUGGGGAAACGGCUCACCAAGGCCACGAUGCAUAGCCGAUCUGAGAGGGUGAUCGGCCACACUGGGACUGAGACACGGCCCAGACUCCUACGGGAGGCAGCAGUGGGGAAUCUUCGGCAAUGGACGAAAGUCUGACCGAGCCACGCCGCGUGAGUGAAGAAGGUUUUCGGAUCGUAAAACUCUGUUGUUAGAGAAGCGGUAUUUACCCAGAAAGCCACGGCUAACUACGUGCCAGCAGCCGCGGUAAUAC
rnacentral:rRNA from 1 species